GUCUAUGUGGCGUAUCUCUUCGUCCAUUGUUUGGCUAUUCUGUCAUGCUCUGUUCUGUUGGUCAGGUACUGUGUGGCGAUGCUUCCCACCAGAGGGUCGGCUGAAAGGCACAAAGAGAGAGAACGCGUGAGCUAUUGAUGUGGAUCUUACCUGGGUUACAGUCUGUGAGCAGGGAGCAGAUGGACAGCAGCACCUUGGAGAUGGUGAGGGCGGGGCUCCAGUUGUCCUUCAGGAUGUCCAGGCAGAUCACCCCCUGACUGUUGAUGUUGCAGUGAUAGAUCCUCGUACGAAAAGUUACCUGCAGUCAAUCCACCAAGAUCUGAAGGAACGCCUGAGGGGAAGCUCAGUCGUAAACUAUGUGGAAUAAAUUGUUCAAUAACUGGCUCCAAACCAGCACUUGGUGUGAAACUAACUCCUCCUGAGUGAAAUGUCAGUUAAAUAUUAUUUCUUUAAAUGAAAAUAAAUAAAUAAAGAUAAUAAAUCACAAUUGCCCAACA